rnacentral:lncRNA from 1 species
CCUAGUAACAAACACCUUUUGUUCAGUAGGGUGGUAGAAGUAGUGUCUAUUAGUUUUCUUAGGAUACCCUACAAACCUACACUUAUCUGAUCUAGCACUAAGCUAAUUUAUGUAUCCAAAUUUUAUUUUGAUUAAGAGUCAAUUAGGCAUCCUAAUCAAUGAAUGAUUAACGGUCAACAUAAUUUUAGAGAUACUGAGGAAUAAAUUAUUAAGAAAACCCAAUGAAUGGUAGAGUUUAAACUAGAUCAAAUUUUAGGAGUGAUUCUACAACCCUCUUUUUACUGAUCUCAAUAA